AUUGAACGCUGGCGGCAGGCCUAACACAUGCAAGUCGAGCGAGCGGCGGACGGGUGAGUAAUGUCUGGGAAACUGCCUGACGGAGGGGGAUAACUACUGGAAACGGUAGCUAAUACCGCAUACCAUCAGAUGUGCCCAGAUGGGAUUAGCUAGUAGGUGGGGUAACGGCUCACCUAGGCGACGAUCCCUAGCUGGUCUGAGAGGAUGACCAGCCACACUGAAACUGAGACACGGUCGCGGCUCCUACGGGAGGCAGCAAAGGGGAAUAUUGCACAAUGGGCGCAGGCCUGAUGCAGCCAUGCCGCGUGUGGGAGGAAGGCCUUCGGGUUGUAAAGCACUUUCAGCGGGGAGGCGUUACCCGCAGAAGAAGCACCGGCUAACUCCGUGCCAGCAGCCGCGGUAAUAC
rnacentral:rRNA from 1 species